GGCACCAUACCAUAGGGACACACACCCAAACACAAAAAAAGCCGGGCCUUCGAGGUCCUGACAGAGCCUCCACCUCCAAACCAGAAACUAAGCGGACCGCGGGCAGAGUGGGGGCGCAGGUGGACUCGGACACGUGACCCACGGCGCCUCCCUACUCCUGGAAAGUCAGCGGGCAGGUCGACCUCCGACUCAGCCUCUAAGAAGCCGCAAAUGCUCACCUGGACAAGCCAGCACCUUCUACCUCGAGAUCCGGGCCACCGGGUUCCAGAUACUACUAUGAUGCCAACCUGACUUCCCUGGGCAGAUGACCCCAUCAACAUGUCCUGAAGCCUCAUUUCUACAGAUCCCUGCCCCACUAGAGAAAGAGAGAGAUGGGCUAGGAGUAUGGAUCAACCUCCCAAUGCCCAUGUUCAGUGAAGAAGCCAUUACAGAAGCCAGACCUUCCACCUUCUGCAUCCCACAAUGACCUUGGGUCCAUACUCCCAGAGGGUUAAAGAAUAGGAAAGCUUUCAAAGGAGUGGAUGGGAUAUGAAGUUCUGGGGAUGGGAAUUGUGUGGAAAUGUACCCCUCUUAUCCUAUAGUCUUGUCAAUAUUUCCAUUUUAGAAAGAAAGAAAAGAAAAGAAAGGAGUCAGGCAGUAGUGCAGCAGGUUAAGCGCACGUGGAGCAAAGCACAUAAAAAUUCUAGUUCGAGCCCCAGGCUCCCCACCUGCAGGGGAGUCCCUUCACAAGGACCUGGGUUCAAGCUUCGGUCCCCACCUGCAGGGGGGAAAGCUUUGCAUGUGGUAAAGCAGAGCUGCAGAUGUCUCUCUCUCUCCCUCUUUAUCUUCCCCUUCCCUCUUGAUUUCUGUCUGUCUCUAUCCAAUAAAUAAAUAAAGAUAAUAAUUAAAAAAAAACAUUAGGUCCUUCAGUUACAGUCAAACUGAUUCAUGUAGAGAAACAAGUCAAUUAUUAGAAACUGUUGCCAA